rnacentral:rRNA from 1 species
UACGAGGGGGGCGAGCGUUGUUCGGAAUUAUUGGGCGUAAAGGGUGCGUAGGCGGUUUGGUAAGUCUCUUGUGAAAUCUAUGGGCUCAACUCAUAGUCUGCAAGGGAAACUGCCGGGCUUGAGUGUGGGAGAGGUGAGUGGAAUUUCCGGUGUAGCGGUGAAAUGCGUAGAUAUCGGAAGGAACACCUGUGGCGAAAGCGGCUCACUGGACCACAACUGACGCUGAUGCACGAAAGCUAGGGGAG